GAGAGUCCUAGAGCAGUAACUGAGCUAUCACCUCCAGGGGGCGCUGCCAGAGCAGUCCGGUCACAAAGAAGACAGCACGGGAUGAAUUCCUGCACUCACAUAGGUAUCUGCACUCUCAUAGCCACCAGUCAGCCUCAAAACACUCCACUCCUUCUUCAAGCAUCCAAGUGAUAAGUGAAGUCAAAAAGAAUGACACAGUUUCUCCAGCUACACUCAAUUCUAAGGUCCAUCCCACUAUGAUCCCGCACAGAGCCCUUGACCUUAGAAAAGACAGGCACAGGCAAACAUCAGUUCCUAAAGGGAUUCAACCUUCCAGUCACACAUCUAAGGAACAUUAUGAGUACAUGUUCCGGUCCUUGACCAUAUCAUCAACCCCAGAGGAUCUCAGACACUUUAAGGCCAAGAUCAGCCCAG
ensembl:lncRNA